rnacentral:tRNA from 1 species
GGGGCGUUAGCUCAGCUGGGAGAGCGCCUCCAUGGCAUGGAGGAGGUCGAGAGUUCGAUCCUCUUACGCUCCACCA